GAUGAAGAACGCAGCGAAAUGCGAUAAGUAAUGUGAAUUGCAGAAUUCAGUGAAUCAUCGAAUCUUUGAACGCACGUUGCGCCCUUUGGUAUUCCUUAGGGCAUGCCUGUUCGAGCGUCAUUUAAACCUUCAAGCUAAGCUUGGUGUUGGGUGACUGUCCGCUUCACGGCGGACUCGCCUCAAAAUUAUUGGCGGCCGGUACAUUGGCUUCGAGCGCAGCAGAAACGCGAACUCGGGCCCGUCGUAUUGGCUCCCAGAAGCUAUCUUCACAAUUUUGACCUCGGAUCAGGUAGGGAUACCCGCUGAACUUAAGCAUAUCAAUAAGCGGAGGA
rnacentral:misc_RNA from 1 species